CUAUCUUCUCCCUGUCGCGGCAAAAUCCGUGACCGGGCGUAGCAACCCGUGUA
rfam:Pantoea stewartii subsp. stewartii DC283 WGS_Sequence30, whole genome shotgun sequence.